UAACCUUGCGGCCGUACUCCCCAGGCGGUCAACUUAAUGCGUUAGCUGCGCCACUAAGAGUUCAAGACUCCCAGCGGCUAGUUGACAUCGUUUACGGCGUGGACUACCAGGGUAUCUAAUCCUGUUUGCUCCCCACGCUUUCGCACCUCAGUGUCAGUACCAGUCCAGGUAGUCGCCUUCGCCACUGGUGUUCCUUCCUAUAUCUACGCAUUUCACCGCUACACAGGAAAUUCCACUACCCUCUACCGUACUCUAGCUCAGCAGUUUUGGAUGCAGUUCCCAGGUUGAGCCCGGGGAUUUCACAUCCAACUUACUGAACCACCUACGCGCGCUUUACGCCCAGUAAUUCCGAUUAACGCUUGCACCCUUCGUAUUACCGCGGCUGCUGGCACGAAGUUAGCCGGUGCUUAUUCUGUCGGUAACGUCAAAGUAGCAACGUAUUAAGUUACUACCCUUCCUCCCAACUUAAAGUGCUUUACAAUCCGAAGACCUUCUUCACACACGCGGCAUGGCUGGAUCAGGCUUUCGCCCAUUGUCCAAUAUUCCCCA
rnacentral:rRNA from 1 species